GGAUCAGUGGUGUAGAAGGUCUGCACAUUUGUCUGAAAAGCAAAAGGGAACCGUUCAAUUCGGUUUUGAUCCACAA
rnacentral:tRNA from 6 species